AGAACCUGGUCUCCUGAGUCGUGCAUGCCUCUUUAGGGCUCCAUUGUCCUCACCCCGGAGGGACCCCCUGCUUCAUCUGGCGCCUUGAGCAUGGCACUCACCAGGACGGGGAGAGGGUUUGCUUGUAUUUUUCCAGAAGGUGAGAAAAAUCCCGCGUGGAUUCCUGCCUGUAACAUCAAACCCUGCACCACCAGCGAUGAGCCGUAGACCACCAUCACCAUCACCCUCGGUAGAGGAAAUGGAGGACCUGACCAUAGAGGACAACCAGCCCCGACGGUGGAGGCAACCAAGGCACUGACGGGCCCUCAAGAACCUACAAGACCAAGCUGCACGCAUGGCCCCAGAAGGCAAUCCGUCGGCAGGGACAUUAUUCCUAUUAAUGUGUGCCAUCUGUAUAAUGCCCAUUCCAGUGAGAAAUGCCUUCUGGGAGCGCAAAACAUUAGCAAAUCUCCUUAAAGGUCCAUUCAGCCAGGCAUUCCUAAACAGCACCUAUCAGCUCCAGCGAGAAAUCCUAAGAAUCAGCAAUACCCGAGUAAAGCCCAUUGAGUUUAGUUUCUUAAGUAAUGCCCUCAGCCAUCUAACCUCCUGGUUAAACCCAGCCAACCUCCUCAUCUGGGGAGUCAUGAUAGUAGGAUUCGUCAUAGGAAUAGUAUUAUUUCGCUGUUUAUACAACAUAUUCCUUAAGCUAAGUGCCCAGCAAGCCAUGAUCAUACACGUCCAGCAGGCGCUAAUAAGAAAAGAAAGGGGAGAUGUGGGAAGAGCUCAGGAGAUCUAUCUCAGUGCAGUGGCGGAUGCAAUGGCGUGAGCACACUCCGCCUAUACAAGCUUCCUCGGCACACCAGGAAGUGGCAACGCCCGCCUGAGCAAGCCUCCUAGAGCCACUACACAGUACCCUGAUCUUUCCUACCAUUGGCUGCCCUAAGGAUUGUGUAAACUUCUGAUUGGUCCAAAAUGUUAUAUAUACUGCUGCACUUACACAAUAAACUUAGAUCUGCGUCACAAAA